rnacentral:tRNA from 1 species
UAGCUCAGCUGGUAGAGUGCUUGCCUCACAAGCACAAGGUCCUGGGUUCAAUCCCCAG